GGAUAUGAAGUAAUUAUAAAACAUAAAUACAAGAAUUAUCGGAUAGAUCGUGAAGGAGGAACCCAACUAAGUACAAAUUAUACAGGAAUGAGAUGCCCCAACUCUCCAGUGCAUCACUCUGAAUUAAUUGACUUCAUGGAGAGUACUAGUUUAUAUCCCUAAAACCCCACAUUGCUAAAUGCUAAAUAAUACUGUGGUUUUUGAGCAACGAAACGGAGAAGAGUUAAUAAUAGUAUGGACAAGUCACCGAGAUUUGUUCUGAAAUGGAAGUAUUUGGGGGGAGGGGGACCAGAGGACGAACAACAUUGAUGGCGCCAUGUUAGGGUGAUGGAAAAUCAAAGAAUUGGAUGCCAUCUUCCCAAUCACUGUAUGUAAUCAUGGUCGGAUGUCGUAAAGAAGCGAUAAUCAGGUCAUUCCAACAAAAACUUUUUACACAAUAACGCAGCAGGAAAUAUCUACGACCAUAGUCUUCUGCUUCUUUCGGGUCUUUAGUCUCGAUCUGUAUGAUAACAUGCACGAACAACUUCUACCACCCAAAACGAGAUAAAUGCUUUAAACAUACGUAAAAUUCUGUCCUCCAUUUCUAGUAUUGUACUUCUCAUCUGUAAGUAUCCUAUACAUGCACGAAUCAAAGUUGCAGGCUGAUCAUGGUUUGAUCAUUAGUUGUGGUAGGGCUUUGAUCAAAGCAACUCAACCUGUUUUAAUAGCUUAAGUAUAACAAUUCCUGUAUUCCACCCU